rnacentral:rRNA from 1 species
AACUUUCAACAACGGAUCUCUUGGCUCUCGCAUCGAUGAAGAACGCAGCGAAAUGCGAUAAGUAGUGUGAAUUGCAGAACCUUGUGAACCAUCGAAUCUUUGAACGCAAAUUGCGCCUUUAUCUGAGGCAUGUCUGUUUGAGGGCACCAU